rnacentral:miRNA from 1 species
UUUGAAAUUUUGCAACGAGACG